AUGUCGGUUUUUCCCAACAGCAGCGAGAAAAACACCACUGGAGCUCAGGACUGGACGGAGGUGUACGAAGCGGUCAGGUGGAUCCAGCUCGCCAUGGCUCUGCUCAGCACAUUACGCCUCCAUUUCUGGGUCAUCUACGCUGCAAAUGAUAAACAGGAAGGAGGUCAAAGGUCACAGCACUCAGACAAUCAAAGAGGGAAAAGUUGCAGUCAGCUUGAAGUAAUCCGAUUACGGCUCCUUUCUUCUUCUUUUAUUAUCUUUUAA
rnacentral:lncRNA from 15 species